rnacentral:rRNA from 1 species
UACAGAGACUGCAAGCGUUAUUCGGAUUCACUGGGCGUAAAGGGUGCGCAGGCGCCAUGUGUGUGAGGCGUGAAAGCCUGGAGCUUAACUCCAGAAUUGCGCCUCAAACUACAUGGCUAGAGCAUUGGAGAGGGUAGCAGAAUUCAUGGUGUAGCAGUAGAAAUGCGUAGAUAUCAGGAAGAACACCCGUGGCGGAAGGCGGCUCUCUGGGACGGUACUGACGCUGAGACGCGAAAGCGUGGGGAGCGAACAGG